GACGGUUCGCUAUUUAAUUAUUUAGCGUUCUAUCAGCGUGUAGAUUCAGGAAACAACGAUAUAAUAUGCGUGCAGCACAGUUUUAACGAAUCUACUUUGUGGAACCUCUUUGUUCUCUGCUUUCGUGUCAAAAAUUAAUGAAUUAAAUAUUAAUCUCUGGGGUGAUCAGUGAGAUUCUUUUACGAAAAAAAUUUCGAUGAAAUAUAAUUGUGUUUUAGAUCAGAAAUCGUUUGGAAUUUGACUGCCUUUUGAAUUUUAACGUUCUGGUCUCUUUGAAUAAUUGUAACGUUAUUUUUAAUUGAUUUAAUGCAAUUUAAACAAGAACACGUGUAAAUAAAGAGACAGUACUUUGAAUUGGAUAAUGUAAAAGUCCAUUUUAAUCGAACCAACCUGUUAAUUAUCGUUGUCGAACGCAAUCAAACUGUGCGCCGCGAGGUAAAGUUUUAACUUUAAAAGUCAAUUUACUCGACGAUGUUAAAGGCGUAAUAGCGUUGAACGUAAACUUAAAACGACCAUUUAGCCUUAAUUAACUCGACUAUUUUUUAACGUAACCUUUAACACAACAGAAAAAAUAUAAUCUGUUCGUAAUAACAGAUUAUCGUAUCAGCAAUACGCAAAGUGUAUAAUUUGCCAUUCUCUACGAGAAGAAAUAUUCCUAAUGCAUAAGGUUUCUUCCUAAGAAAAUCUGAAAGUAAAAUCAUUCUCUAACGAGUUUUUAAUAUUCCCAUGAAAAUGUGUCAGAUAGUCGGAACAACGCUUUAAAAACCGUAUAUACGCCAGUAAAACCGAAACAUUUCUUCAAGUUCGUUAUUCAUCGCGCUCUUCAAAAUUUACAAUGAAUAUAUGUAGUUUGCAUUUACAGGAUUCAGCUUUUAAGGCUCACUUUUCGAUCCAACGUGUUACCACUGCUACCGUUUUAUUUGCCAUCGGAGAAUAGUUUUAUUUGCAACUGUUCUUUUUUAAACCGUUCCAUUAGAGUAACUUUCACGAUGCAACGUUGUAGUUGCAGCGAUCUUCCAACGAGAGCUGUAGACGAAACGAAAACAUUUCACCAAAAUGAAUGUUUCCAAGGCUGAUUCAACUGGCCUAUUAACGGGGUAUCGGUAAGCUCGGUCGUUCCCUUCGCUGUUGGAACGCACGGUCGAGGUUCGAGCUGGCCGUGAGAAGAAGGCGAACGGAAGGAAGGUUGGCAGCGUGCUCGAACGUGAAGGGAAGGAAGCGAGCGAAGCGAGUGGAGGGAGAAGAUGGCGCACGGCAGGCGCGUGGCUCCCACGGGUCGCCUCGAGCCUCCGCUGGACCUUGAGAGGGAGAUAGUCGAGCACCGGUCUCGAAUACGCAUGCUGUGAUCGAAAUUCCCGUCUCAGACCGGUUGCUUCCGCGAUCGUCUCUGAAAGCCAUCGUACUCCACGAGCAAAAUUGAAUGUCCGCGCGAAGAGAGAGAAAUUAAUCUGUCUGGGUUACCGCGAUGGGUAAUUUUAACGCCCGGCCAGCCUUGCCGAACGACUUCAUCCAGCGGAACAGCAGGUCCGCGAUCUGUGUCCGGAGACUCGAUCCCCGUCAAUUCACCAUCGUUUAUCCCCGUUGGCCGAUUAAAGAAGCUGUCGACCGUUCGACGCGAUUCCAAUCGUCUGCUCUGCGCCAGGAAUCGUGCCACCUCGGCGUCCGGGUACCAACCCCCUCGAGAGCUUCCGAAUAAAUGGACGCGUCGUGCGCCAACUUUCAACACCGGCAUUGCCUGAAUCCGUGGAAAUGAUGGGAGACGAUGUCCGGAAUAGAAAUUCGGUUCCUCUUUGGUUACUUGUGAUUUUUAAUAAAAUAUUCAGAGGAUAAGGCUAUUGGCCUUUCACGUGAAUUAUAAUUCAAGUUUUUAUUUUUAUCUGAAUUACGAUUCGGGUACUUAUUUUUGUUACUAUUUUUAUGCGAAUUGUAAUUUAAGUUUGCAUUUUUUUACGUUAAUUAUAAUUCGCCGGACAGCGGAUGUAAUUUUGUAAAUAAUUUGAGCUAUUUACUUGGUCUCUUUUCCAUACACGUCGCCUUCUAAUUUUAGAUAUUGACUACAUGAUCGUGAAUUAUCUAUAAUGGAUAGAGUUUAUUGACCGAUUGUUGGUCAUUUGAUUUAUUAUUAAUUAUUAUUGCAAGUUAUAUUUUUGUAUCGUACAGAUAUAUCUCUGCCUUGCUCUAACUUCGAACAAUAUAAUUGUAUUUAACGCGGUCUAUUAUACUAAAAUCAAUAGAUUCUAAUUAAUUCGAUCUAAAUAAAUAUAGCCUCGAGUUCAAUGAAA